UACGUAUGGUGCAAGCGUUAUCCGGAUUUACUGGGCGUAAAGGGAGCGCAGGCGGCGCGCCAAGUCUGAUGUGAAACCCCGGGGCUCAACCCCGGGCAUGCAUUGGAAACUGGCGGGCUGGAGUGCCGGAGAGGUAAGCGGAAUUCCUAGUGUAGCGGUGAAAUGCGUAGAUAUUAGGAGGAACACCAGAGGCGAAGGCGGCUUACUGGACGGCAACUGACGCUGAGGCUCGAAAGCGUGGGGAGCAAACAGG
rnacentral:rRNA from 1 species